rnacentral:lncRNA from 10 species
CAAGAGCUAUAGCCUUUGGCUUGAGGUCCUUUUGGACAUUUUUUUUUACUUUCAGAAAUCAAAACAGGAAUUUAUGAACUAUUCUUCCAUCGGUACAAAUCUUAGUGAGCUUCUAGCCACAUCCGGACCCUACACAUAUUUUUUCAAGGCCACAAUUUGAGAAGCUGUAGCCUCUGGAUAAUUGGAAUUAUGGAAUUUUUGAGUUGGAGGUUACCCAAGAAAUCAUCUAGUACAGGAUUCUGAAACUUCUGCUUCUCUUAUUCCUGACUCUGGCUGCCAUCGUUGGCUGAUGAAAGAGUUCCUUUUAUUUGGUGAGUUCAUCCAUCAAGAUUGUCUUCGAAGCUUUGUCUUUGAAGUUUUCACCUAUUCCCAACCACUCCCCCUGGAAGCUUGUUUCCUGCACUGUUAAGAGCAUGGACCCUGAAGGCGGACUACCUGGAUUCAAACCCUACCUCCACCUCUUAUUGGGAGAAUGACCUUGUGUAAAUGACAUCACUUCUGUGUCUCAGUUAACACGCCUGUAAAAUGGAAAUAAUAUCUAUUUGUGAUGGUUAGUUUUAUGUGCCAACUUGACUGAGUCAGAGAAUACCGAGACAGCAGGUAAAACAUUAUUUCUGAGUGUCUAUGAGGGUGUAUCUGGAAGAGAUUAGCAUUUGAAUCAGUAGAAUGAGUCAAGAAGAUCUGCGUCGUCUCAUCUGGUAUCAUCCAAUCCACUGAGGGCUCACCCAAAUAGAACAAAAAGGCAGAGGAAGGGUGCAUUGUCACUCUCCUCUUGAGCCAGGACAUCCAUCUUCUCCUGCCCUUGGAUAUCAGAGCUCCUGGUUCUUGGGUCUUCAGACUCUGGGACUUAUACCCUGGCUCUCCUCAUUCUCAGGCCUUUGAACUCAGACUGCAUCACACCACUGGCUUACCUGGUGCUCCAACUUGCAGAUGGCUUGCUGUUGCCAGAUUCCAGAACCAUGUUCUUGGACUUCCC